UGGGGUGUGGCUCAGUGGUAGAGUGCUUACCUCUCAUGAGGGAGGCACUGGGUUCGAUCCUCAGCACCACAU
rnacentral:tRNA from 1 species